rnacentral:rRNA from 1 species
GAACUUGCCUCUUGGACUGGGACAACUGUUGGUUUCGACAGCUAAUACCGGAUAUUAUGAGAUUCUCGCAUGGGAAACUUAUGAAAGCUAUAUGCGCCAAGAGAGAGCCUUGCGUUCCAUUAGCUAGUUGGUGGGGUAAUGGCCCACCAAGGCGACGAUGGAUAGCCGGCCUGAGAGGGUGAACGGCCACAAGGGGACUGAGACACGGCCCUUACUCCUACGGGAGGCAGCAGUGGGGAAUAUUGGACAAUGGGCCACAAGCCUGAUCCAGCAAUUCCGUGUGCACGAUGAAGGUCUUCGGAUCGUAAAGUGCUUUCAGUUGGGAAGAAGAAAGUGACGGUACCAACAGAAGAAGCGACGGCUAAAUACGUGCCAGCAGCCGCGGUAAUACGUAUGUCGCAAGCGUUAUCCGGAUUUAUUGGGCGUAAAGCGCGUCUAGGCGGAAAAAUAAGUCUGAUGUUAAAAUGCGGGGCUCAACUCCGUAUUGCGUUGGAAACUGUUUUUCUAGAGUACUGGAGAGGUGGGCGGAACUACAAGUGUAGAGGUGAAAUUCGUAGAUAUUUGUAGGAAUGCCGAUGGAGAAGUCAGCUCACUGGACAGAUACUGACGCUAAAGCGCGAAAGCGUGGGGAGCAAACAGGAUUAGAUACCCUGGUAGUCCACGCCGUAAACGAUGAUCACUAGGUGUUGGGGGUCGAA